rnacentral:rRNA from 1 species
AUUGAACGCUGGCGGCAGGCUUAACACAUGCAAGUCGAGCGAGAGGCGGACGGGUGGGUAAUUUCGGGGCAACUGGCUGAUGGAGGGGGCUAACGGGUGGAACCGGUAGCUAAUGCCGCAUACGGUCCUAUGUGGCCAGGUGGGAUUAGCUAGUAGGUGGGGUAAUGGCUCACCUAGGCGACGCUCCCUAGCUGGGCUGAGAGGAUGACCAGCCAAACUGGAACUGAGACACGGUCCAGACUCCUACGGGAGGCAGCAGUGGGGAAUAUUGCACAAUGGGCGAAAGCCUGAUGCAGCCAUGCCGCGUGUGUGAAGAAGGCCUUCGGGUUGUAAAGCACUUUCAGCGAGGAGGCGGUACUCGCAGAAGAAGCACCGGCUAACUCCGUGCCAGCAGCCGCGGUAAUAC